CUCCCACUCUUCUGCCUGCCUUUGAGUUGCUGCCAAACACAAGUGAUGGUGGCUGGCCCUUUGCUUAGGGCAAGUUUUGAAUAAAUAAUCUCUUCUUGUUCUCAUGUGAGUGGGCUUCACUUAUUUCCACAGCUCUCAUGGGUAUACAGUAUACACUGCCCAUUGCUACGGACCCCAUUCUUUGACCCCUACUAGAGAAGACACAGAGGCCUUGUGUGCUGAGCUGCAACUAGUUUGCCGAGUCUGCACUGACAUGUGGAGAAAAAAUAAAAGAAAGCAGGUCUGGGAAGAAUGAGAAAGGGUGGCAAGAGCUAACAUGCUGGCAAACAAAAAGUGAGUGGAUGUAUUUAAAUGGCAGGAAGAGGUUAGCUGAAACAAGCUGACAAAAUUUCAUUUCUAGAGGGCACCCAGUGACAUAGCACACAGGACCGAACUGCAGCAUCUCCUCUCACACAUCUGCUCUUGCUCUGUUUCUUAGAAGAAGGGAAAAAUCUGCUCCAGGGACCUUUCCUUUCCCU
rnacentral:lncRNA from 12 species